GGAGGUUUGGCACCUCGAUGUCGGCUCAUCGCAUCCUGGGGCUGUAGUCGGUCCCAAGGGUUGGGCUGUUCGCCCAUUAAAGCGGUACGCGAGCUGGGUUCAGAACGUCGUGAGACAGUUCGGUCCCUAUCCGUCGUGGGCGUAGGAAAUUUGAGAGGAGCUGUCCUUAGUACGAGAGGACCGGGAUGGACAUACCUCUGGUGUACCAGUUGUCGUGCCAACGGCAUAGCUGGGUAGCUAUGUGUGGACGGGAUAAGUGCUGAAAGCAUCUAAGCAUGAAGCCCCCCUCAAGAUGAGAUUUCCCAACUUCGGUUAUAAGAUCCCUCAAAGAUGAUGAGGUUAAUAGGUUCGAGGUGGAAGCAUGGUGACAUGUGGAGCUGACGAAUACUAAUCGAUCGAAGACUUAAUCAA
rnacentral:rRNA from 1 species